rnacentral:rRNA from 1 species
GGGGAAUAUUGGACAAUGGGCGCAAGCCUGAUCCAGCCAUGCCGCGUGAGUGAUGAAGGUCUUAGGAUUGUAAAGCUCUUUCACCGGUGAAGAUAAUGACGGUAACCGGAGAAGAAGCCCCGGCUAACUUCGUGCCAGCAGCCGCGGUAAUACGAAGGGGGCUAGCGUUGUUCGGAAUUACUGGGCGUAAAGCGCAUGUAGGCGGAUAUUUAAGUCAGGGGUGAAAUCCCGCAGCCCAACUGCGGAACUGCCUUUGAUACUGGGUAUCUUGAGUAUGGAAGAGGUGAGUGGAAUUCCGAGUGUAGAGGUGAAAUUCGUAGAUAUUCGGAGGAACACCAGUGGCGAAGGCGGCUCACUGGUCCAUUAUUGACGCUGAGGUGCGAAAGCGUGGGGAGCAAAC